AACGCAGUGUGUGAUGAAAACGUGUUAUGUGUAGGUCAGGCUGAGACGAAGCUGCACAGAGGCGAUCUUAGGAAGCUGGAGUCCCCACCCGCCCACACCCACACCCACUUCCGCCUUGUGCUGUCAGUCCUGCUGAGUCGAUACAAACCGUAGCCUGGGGCCCAGCCUGGACUCCCCACUGAGGUUCUGGCCUACGGGAGAUCAAAGACCCACUGAGAACAAUAGUAAGGCAGCCGUGGUUCACUCUCCCCGGAUGCACCUCCACACCUGUCCAUGCUGUCACUCAGCCAUUCCAGGCUGUUUUUAUCUUCCUGUGGUUCUCAUCAUACUUCCUGUGGAAAGUGGAGGCUGUCUGCAGCAUGUGCACAGCUGUUUGGAAGACCUCCAUAUUGAAGACUGACUCCAGGUUUACUGGGCUGGCCCAUCGUAAAUUGGACUGGAUAUCUUCUUUCUCGACUCUGCCAGACUCGAAGUGGACUACAGGGUGACCUUACCAGGCAUUCACAUUUUCCCUGAGAGUCUCCUUAACCUGCAUUCACAGGCCAGUUUCUUUGCUAACAGCCUGGCAAGAGAGUUUCUAAACACCAGUCAUGUCAAGGGUUAUUGGCAGUGAAAAGAGAACAGUGGCCAGGUCUGGGAAGGAUCCCUGCAUGUCUUUCCUGUUGGCCUCAGUGUUUCCAUGCUGUUAUCAACCCAGCUGAUAAUGCGGAGCUUCAGGCGCUUUUUCUCAGGACCCACAGCACGCUGCCACACAUUCUGAUGGCGUGACACAGACCUCCACCACAGAGCCCCCUCUGUCUGAAGCAGAGCACACUGCCAGGCCGAGGCCUGCAGCUGGUACGCAUAUUGGUGAAGGGCUCUGCCAGCCCGCCUCCUACUAACGAUAUCUGAAGAUACAGAUCGACUGUACGCACUGCCCUUGUUACAGUUUUGAAGAGUUUCAGAAAAUAUUUAGUCGUACCAAAUGCACAGAAAAGCAGGCCGAGUCCCAUAUGCAGGGAUCAUAAGCAAUAAUGUGGCAGGAAUUAAAAACAAGCCAGUGUGACAUUUGCUUGGUACUAAGAAAAUGUACAGCAAAUAAAGACACGUUUUAAAUGUAAGACACAUGUAUCUGUUUUCUCCUUUACCUCAUUUAAAUGCAGUGUUACUUCAAAUGAACUGUUACUUCAAACUGUGAGUUGAAAGUGAGUUGAACUAAAUGUAAAUAUUAAACAUAUAAAUGUUCACUUUCAGUAAAACAGCUGUGUUAUCUCCAGGGUUUUGCCUUGUUUGUUAAAAAAAAAUAGUGAUCUUUGCAUUUUCCUGUUUACCACGUGGCUUGGCAUGGAAGCCAUUUCAUAACUGCACCACACAUCUUGGAUCUAUCAUAAUUCCCCUUUGUGGAAAACCCUUGUGCAAUAUGUAAAGCAUUUUCAAGACAGCUUAAAUCAGUUAUGGUGUCAGUAAAGUUUGUUUGCUUGUUGAUAAUAAUAGUAUUUGAACUAAUAUGAGUAAUGCUUGGUAAAAUUACACUGUGAUUAUUGUUUGUUUCAGGGCUCGUCUUAUUUUCCUGUUUU